rnacentral:rRNA from 1 species
GGGAGGUAGUGACAAUAAAUAACAAUACAGGGCUCUUAUGGGUCUUGUAAUUGGAAUGAGUACAAUUUAAAUCUCUUAACGAGAACCAAUUGGAGGGCAAGUCUGGUGCCAGCAGCCGCGGUAAUUCCAGCUCCAAUAGCGUAUAUUAAAGCUGUUGCAGUUAAAAAGCUCGUAGUUGAAUUUCGGGAUUAGUAGGUUGGUCGUGCCUAUGGUAUGUACUGGCUUUACUGAUUCCUCCUUCUUGAAGAACUGUAAUGUCAUUAAUUUGGUGUUGCAGGGAAACAGGACUGUUACUUUGAAAAAUUAGAGUGUUUAAAGCAGGCCAACGCCUGAAUACAUUAGCAUGGAAUAAUGAAAUAGGACGUUCGAACCUAUUUUGCUGGUUUCUAGGAUUGACGUAAUGAUUAAUAGGGAUAGUUGGG